rnacentral:lncRNA from 1 species
UGCAUUGCAUCUGGAAUAAACGGCGUGCCUCUCUAAGCCACAGUAAUUCCCCUUCCACUUUUCCCCUUCCCACUUCCUUUGUGCACCUCUCAGCUCCCUAGCAAUGCGCGGUUGAAAAUUAUCGAUCUAUGUCAGGCAUGAUUGAAAUCUCUCAUUCCAUUUUUCACAGGUUCAACAGAAGCCUCCUCCCCGCACUGGUGAUACACUUGCUUCUAAACCACAACCAGACCCACAGGCCCGAAACCCGGCUCAAGGAUCUCCUGCUUCUUUGUGUGAUGGCCAGAAGGAACCAGAAGGAAAAAGAGAGGAAAUAUCAUCAGAUGAAAUCAUGAUACAGGAUAUAAUUAAAAUACUGGAAUCAAUUCCUCCCCAGGUGUGGGCAGACCUCAUUGAAACAUGCAAUCAAAGGUUGGAGGAAAACGAAAGGAUGCUCAGACAAAGAGAAGAAGAGAUAAAAAAGUCUGAAGAUGAGCUUCUAAACAUCCAAAAGAAAAGGAAAGGUAUUGAAGAGAGCACUGUGCAAAUGGAAGAAUUCAAAAAGGAUGGAAAUAAGCUAGAAAAUGAGAAGAAAGAGCUGGAAAGGAAGAGGGAUAACUUUAAAGAGGAGAGGGAUAAGCUUCUAAAGGAAAUGAAAAAACUAAUAUUCUUCAAAGAAAUUAUUGAGAAACCAAUUAAUGAUCCAAAGGUUAGUGGUGCAAUGUGUCUUUUUAAACAAUUAUAUUACAUGUAAAAGAAAAGAAUGA